CUGGUUGCAAAAGCGGCCGUCUUGGAAACAACUUCCUCGAGUAAGGAAGUCAAGGGGAUUGCCCUUGCUACGCAAGGCAAUAUGAAGCGCCUGUUUGGAAUGGACCUGCGGGUGAUGGCUGCUAUUUUAAUAGGUUUGAUCGUCAUCGUUCCAAACGAAGUCGUCGCUGUCGGCCUCGGUGGAGGGGUCGGAGGAGUCGGAGGCAUAGGUUUGGCAGUCAUCGUUCCAAAUGAAGCUGUUGCUGGCGGUCUCGGUGGAGGGGUCGGAGGAGCCGGUGGCCUAGGUGGCGUUCGCUAGAAGUAGACUAUUGAGGAUUCUGAUUCUUACCAUGCCAAUGUUAUCAUGCUCAGUUAGACGAGCUCGCCCGUAUUAAAGAGGGGAGGACGAAAACAUUGUUCCUAGUUUUAAAUGUACAGCUGAGCAGAUAUAUCUUAAGCACAACGCACAUUGCUCUCUUGAACAUCACGACAUGCUCAUCC